rnacentral:rRNA from 1 species
GACGAACGCUGGCGGCGUGCUUAACACAUGCAAGUCGAACGGUAAGGCCCCUUCGGGGGUACACGAGUGGCGAACGGGUGAGUAACACGUGAGCAACCUGCCCCAGACAUCGGGAUAACAAGUGGAAACACUUGCUAAUACCGGAUACGACCUCAGCGGACAUCUGCAUGAGGUGGAAAGCUCCGGCGGUCUGGGAUGGGCUCGCGGCCUAUCAGCUUGUUGGUGAGGUAACGGCUCACCAAGGCUUCGACGGGUAGCCGGCCUGAGAGGGCGACCGGCCACAAUGGGACUGAGAUACGGCCCAGACUCCUACGGGAGGCAGCAGUGGGGAAUAUUGCACAAUGGGCGCAAGCCUGAUGCAGCGACGCCGCGUGUGGGAUGACGGCCUCCGGGUUGUAAACCACUUUCAGCUCUGACGAAGCGCAAGUGACGGUAGGAGCAGAAGAAGCACCGGCCAACUACGUGCCAGCCGCCGCCGUAAAAC